rnacentral:rRNA from 1 species
GAUGAACGCUGGCGGCGUGCCUAAUACAUGCAAGUCGAACGAUGAACCGGGUGCUUGCACUCGGGGAUUAGUGGCGAACGGGUGAGUAACACGUGAGCAACCUGCCCCUGACUCUGGGAUAAGCGCUGGAAACGGCGUCUAAUACUGGAUAUGUCCCGUCAACGCAUGGUGUGCGGGUGGAAAGAUUUUUCGGUUGGGGAUGGGCUCGCGGCCUAUCAGCUUGUUGGUGAGGUAAUGGCUCACCAAGGCGUCGACGGGUAGCCGGCCUGAGAGGGUGACCGGCCACACUGGGACUGAGACACGGCCCAGACUCCUACGGGAGGCAGCAGUGGGGAAUAUUGCACAAUGGGCGGAAGCCUGAUGCAGCAACGCCGCGUGAGGGAUGACGGCCUUCGGGUUGUAAACCUCUUUUAGCAGGGAAGAAGCGAAAGUGACGGUACCUGCAGAAAAAGCACCGGCUAACUACGUGCCAGCAGCCGCCGUAA